rnacentral:rRNA from 1 species
CUGAACCAGCCAAGUAGCGUGAAGGAUGACUGCCCUAUGGGUUGUAAACUUCUUUUAUAAAGGAAUAAAGUCGGGUAUGCAUACCCGUUUGCAUGUACUUUAUGAAUAAGGAUCGGCUAACUCCGUGCCAGCAGCCGCGGUAAUACGGAGGAUCCGAUCGUUAUCCGGAUUUAUUGGGUUUAAAGGGAGCGUAGAUGGAUGUUUAAGUCAGUUGUGAAAGUUUGCGG